UUUACCGGGGCGCCCAAAGAGAGAGAUUGAGCGUCAGUCGGGUCUUGUACCUGGUGGCGAGCGGCGGACGGGUGAGUAAUGCCUAGGAAUCUAGCCUGGUAGUGGGGGAUAACGCUCGGAAACGGACGCUAAUACCGCAUACGUCCUACGGGAGAAAGCAGGGGACCUUCGGGCCUUGCGCUAUCAGAUGAGCCUAGGUCGGAUUAGCUAGUUGGUGAGGUAAUGGCUCACCAAGGCGACGAUCCGUAACUGGUCUGAGAGGAUGAUCAGUCACACUGGAACUGAGACACGGUCCAGACUCCUACGGGAGGCAGCAGUGGGGAAUAUUGGACAAUGGGCGAAAGCCUGAUCCAGCCAUGCCGCGUGUGUGAAGAAGGUCUUCGGAUUGUAAAGCACUUUAAGUUGGGAGGAAGGGCAGUUACCUAAUACGUAUCUGUUUUGACGUUACCGACAGAAUAAGCACCGGCUAACUCUGUGCCAGCAGCCGCGGUAAUACAGAGGGGUGCAAGCGUUAAUCGGAAUUACUGGGCGUAAAAGCGCGCGUANGUGGGUUCGUUAAAGUUUGGAUGUGAAAUCCCCGGGCUCAACCUGGGAACUGCAUUUCAAAACUGACCNACUUAGAAGUAUGGUAANAAGGGUGGGUGGGAAUUUCCCUGUUGUAAGCCGGGGGAAAUUGCCUUAAAUUNUAGGGAAAGGA
rnacentral:rRNA from 1 species